UACGAGUGGCCCAAGCGUUAUCCGGAAUUAUUGGGCCUAAAGCAUCCGUAGCCGGUUCUGCAAGUCCCCCGUUAAAUCCAGCUGCUCAACAGAUGGGCCGCGGAGGAUACUACAGAGCUAGGAGGCAGGAGAGGCAAGCGGUACUCAGUGGGUAGGGGUAAAAUCCGUUGAUCCAUUGAAGACCACCAGUGGCGAAGGCGGCUUGCCAGAAUGCGCUCGACGGUGAGGGAUGAAAGCUGGGGGAGCAAACCGG
rnacentral:rRNA from 1 species